rnacentral:rRNA from 1 species
CAGUAGCCGCGGUAAUACGUAGGUGGCAAGCGUUGUCCGGAAUUAUUGGGCGUAAAGGGCUCGCAGGCGGUUUCUUAAGUCUGAUGUGAGAGCCCCCGGCUCAACCGGGGAGGGUCAUUGGAAACUGGGAAACUUGAGUGCAGAAGAGGAGAGUGGAAUUCCACGUGUAGCGGUGAAAUGCGUAGAGAUGUGGAGGAACACCAGUGGCGAAGGCGACUCUCUGGUCUGUAACUGACGCUGAGGAGCGAAAGCGUGGGGAGCGAACAGGAUUAGAUACCCCAGUAGUCCCUGUCUCUUAUAC